GAUGAACGCUGGCGGCGUGCCUAAUACAUGCAAGUCGAGCGGACGGACGAGAAGCUUGCUUCUCUGAUGUUAGCGGCGGACGGGUGAGUAACACGUGGAUAACCUACCUAUAAGACUGGGAUAACUUCGGGAAACCGGAGCUAAUACCGGAUAAUAUUUUGAACCGCAUGGUUCAAAAGUGAAAGACGGUCUUGCUGUCACUUAUAGAUGGAUCCGCGCUGCAUUAGCUAGUUGGUAAGGUAACGGCUUACCAAGGCAACGAUGCAUAGCCGGCCUGAGAGGGUGAUCGGCCACACGGGAACUGAGACACGGUCCAGACUCCUACGGGAGGCAGCAGUAGGGAAUCUUCCGCAAUGGGCGAAAGCCUGACGGAGCAACGCCGCGUGAGUGAUGAAGGUCUUCGGAUCGUAAAACUCUGUUAUUAGGGAAGAACAUAUGUGUAAGUAACUGUGCACAUCUUGACGGUACCUAAUCAGAAAGCCACGGCUAACUACGUG
rnacentral:rRNA from 1 species